GUAAGCAAUUUUUAAUGGCCAGUAUGUAGAAAUGAACUUUCUGCAAUAAAUCAUCAAAUUGACGGGAAAACCCUAAAGCAAUCUAAACCAAGCAGUUUUAGUAAUAAAAUUGUGGCACAGGUAAUGACUCGUGGUAUGGUAAAAUAUAGAUUGAUGUACGAAAGUUAAAUGGGUAAUCCGCAGCCAAGCACCGACUGCUUAAGAUAAGUAAAGGUGUGCAGUUCAUCGACUAAAUGUUGGUUGGCGCAAGCUUAAGAUAUAGUCAAACCUUACUCGAAAGAGUACA
rnacentral:ncRNA from 1 species